UUUAAUAAUCGGUGUGGCUAACAACUGGUUUCCACCUCCAUUUUCACUUAUACACCCAAACACUUCUCUUUCUUUCUUCAAACAUAUCUUCCUUCUACUUUCCCUCACUUUAUUAUCUUCUCUGUUAUCAUAUUCUCUCUGCAAAAUUCUAUUCCUAUAAAUAGGUCCUCCUCCAUUGUUGCAAAUUAGUCCUUCUUCAGUGUUUCUUGGAGACUCAGGACUACGAUAUGACCAUUCAAAGUUACCGCAUCUUAUGGAAAUAAACCAUACAUAUUUGUGUGAACAUCGAUCCUAAUUCACAGACUAUGUCAAGGAGCACAUUCCACUGGUUCCAUCUACUGUAGCAACCAUAUUGAGAAUGCAGUAGCAUGAUUGCUUUGUCAGGAUUGAAGUGUGACAAGAGGAGUUCAACGUGGUUAUUGGACAGAUUGUGAUAAGACGUCCUUUUUCUUGGGGAUGUUGCGUUUCAUGGCUGCAGGUCCCGAUAGAUAUAUUGGUAGUCCUCCUUGUAGGCUAUUAGCUCAAUGGAAGGUGUUGGUGCACUCCACUUGCUCCGGAGUUGCCUAUUUGAUCAGUAUGCUUAGGACAUAUAUUGACUGGUAUGGCGGGGCCCUGUCCUGGCCUUUAUGAUGUUUAUGUACUUUUAGAGCCUUGUAGACAUAUGUCAUAUAUAUGGAUGAUUGUAUGGCCUCGUCAGCCUAUGAUUUGAGUGUAUAAAUGAUCAUUUCGGUCUUAUA